ensembl:lncRNA
UAAAAAACUGAAUUUGAUAAAUUAAUUUGCGUACUACUAAGCUGUUUUUUCAACCCACAAUGGCGGAAGGAGGAGAAGAUAUCGAUUUGGUCAAGGAUAUAAUUAUAACGCCAUUCUCAAGACGAACUUUUCAAGAAAAGUUAAACAUUGUAUGGAGAGGUCGCCCAACGCCGACGCUACAAAGCCUGUCACAAGCGGGAAAGGGGUUCGUUCGCCACUUUCAAAGUUCCAACUACGAGCGCUAUCAAUGGCUCACAGGCUCCAAGAAGCACUGCAAACUGUACUGCUGGGAAUGCCUAUUAUUACAAUUGAGCGAGAGAGAGGCGCAGGUUCAGUCAAAUCUACGAUGACACAAAGCGCAUCUCAAGUUUACCCAGCGCUCAGCACAAGGAGACCCUCGCACAUACCAACAACUCCACAGCAAUAUUCUGGACAACAUUUUUGCCAGAAACGAAACAGGUUUCAAGACCACGAAAAAUGUGUUUCUCUCCCUCCUGGACCCCCAGCACUUUCAGACCUACCGGAAAAAAAUUCCCGCAAACAGUCUUCUCCAGCUUAACAGAGUCACGGAACACUGUUCGACCUAUCCAAGCUAAAAACAGAACUGACUGUAAUGUAUGCUAUGACUGAUUUUGAAGGGAAAAGUCCCUCUGAUCUCCUUGAUUUCCUUAAGCAGAAACAUCUGAGUGAGGGCAUGGGGCAACUUUACACAUUGGCAUGUGUGACAGUGACUAUCCCUGUGUCCACGGCUUCUGUCGAGCGGUCAUUCUCGGCCUUAAAGCGAAUCAAAACGUAUUCCAGAAAUGCUACUGGACAGGCUCGGCUUUCAGCAUUAGCCUCCAUGUCGAUAGAAAGGGACUUAUUGGUGGAACUAAAACGCACAGAUAGACUGUACAACAGAGUCAUUGAAGUCUUCUUGAGGAAAGAAAGGAGGAUGGAUUUUGUGUUCAAAUAAUCAGUCUUUGGUGAGUAGGCAUACAAUGCAUUUGAUUUUUUAUUAAAUGUGUAUGUAUGUUUCGCAUUUUAUUUCGUUAAUAUUAAAUAGCCUAUAUAUUAACAAAAUAAAAUGGCAAAUUUAUUUGUUUUCUUUUUAUUUUCAGUGAAUAGUUUGUCUUUAUCAUCACGGUGAAACUGCUUUGGGUGCGACAAUGCGCUGUUUAGUGAACACACUGUAUUUUAUUUUUUGGGGACUUAAAGCUCAAAGUUUGUGGACCAGAAAUGGAUAGAAGAAGAAUAUUAAUAUAACUCUUUUGCACUCGACUAUGUUCUUGCCUAUUAGUUGAACUGUACUGUAUUGUACUCUUCCCCUGCAAUUCUAUGAAUAAAAAUGUCAAUUUCAAGGUGACGCAACGCCUGGUUAUACUGCGUUUCUAUCUAAAUGUAUAGUGUCUAGAGCCAUGGCAUCAUAAUGAUGGUAAUACGAGGUGGAUUCAUUCGGGUGGGACUGUGUAGGACCUCACUGAAGGCCCACGGCACGCCACUGCGAACCAGUGCACACAUCAACAACAGUCACCCACGAAGCAUCGUUACCCAUCGCUCCACAAAAGCCGCGGCCCUUGCAGAGCAAGGGGAACCACUACUUCAAGGUCUCAGAACCACUACUUCAAGGUCUCGGUGACGUCACCGAUUGAAACGCUAUUUAGUGCGCACCACGGCUGACUAGCUAGCCGUUUCACAUCCGUUACAUAUGCAGAACUGAGCGAUUUCUUCUCUGGGCCAGCGGUUUUUGGUCUUCAUUUAACGUUCGAGGUACGCAUUAGGGUUAGCAGUGUGGAUAAGGUUAGGUUUAAAAUCCGUUUUUAUGACUUUGUGGCUGACGUCUCUGCAGAACUGCCUCCAAGGUAAGAAUCAUGACAAUAAAUGCCAACCUGCAGAUAUAUACUAGAAUGCUUCGAACCACAUGUCCCGGUGUUGUACGGAGAAGAAUCUCCCCCCUGCCCCCCUUUCUACUCUUCACUUCGUUGUCAGUUUAACCCACUGAUUUUAGUGGAAGAUAGCAUUUUUGUCUGCAGUUUUCGGUUUGACUAUUUGUUUCAAAUGUAUGUAGCUGUUCUAGCUUGUAUGGCACCCUGGGCGAACCCCCCCCACUUGUAUUCGACUAGUAUUUUUGAAAGUGUAAGGAUAAUAAUUCAGCCAUAGUUGUUCUGAAAUGUUUGUUGCUUGCCAACAUUUUACUCCCUCUGUUUAAUAUAACACAUUUAUUAAUUUCGGUUGCCUAUCCUGCGGUGAAGUUUGAUCUAUAGAAAGUAUUUGACUCUAGCCACAAAAUUAAGGAAAUUAGAAGGGAGGGGGGAGAAUUCUAGCAGGUAGCCUGCAGAGAUCCUACGCCGCAGACAAACGGAGACGUCAUGCUGUUUGUGGUGUUCCUUGCUAGACUGAACUUAUAUUAUCUCAUGCUGUCCUUCAACUGCAAAAUGUCAGUAAAAACUGGAAGGAAGAGCGUUAUUCCUUCUUUCCUGUUAGGAAUUUCAUUCAAGUUAAGAAUGUCCUAAAACUCAUACUCGAAGAGAUGUCAUGACAAAUUAUUGCAGGAAUUUGUAUUGUUUUGAGUUUGACUAAUAUUCCUGGUCCAUUAUUUCACAGGUUGUAUUUGGAAAAAGGUAGCUAUGUUAACACACUCUCUAUCAUUCAUCAGUAUUAAUGCCCCCCCCAGCUAUAGAAUGAUCUUUACAUUGAAUAAUCUAAUGUGUAUGUAUCUGUGAUUUUAAAAUCAAAGUUGACCCAUGAUACUGGUAUCCUUUUGUCUCUUCCACUGGAUGGCCGAUGUGAUGAGUUUUCUGUUCUGGCCAACAGUGUAAUCCUCCUCUGCCUGUUUGUGUGAAUACAUCUCACUGUUUCUCUCAGUUGCAAUGAAGGACAUGUGUUUCCUGUGUAACGACACAAAGUGCCCAGAGGUGACAAAAUGUUUUGAUCAUAAUGGUGACCUGAACCAGAAUCUGCUGACGAUGCCAGGUCCUUUCCAGCAAUGCACAUCCACCCCCUAUCCUCCUUCUGGGAGGUGCACCAUUUGUAGUCUGGAUUAUUAUUAUUACACGCUGUGCAGAAACGUCUCAGAGAGCAUCCAGCCUGCCCUGGAGGCCAACAGCACAGCCAUUACCAACUAUGAACAAGCCAAUUGCCCUGUCAUCAGCAUCGCACCAACUACUGUGAAUGGUUCAGACUUCACUGGAGCUGCUGCUCAAUAUGGACAUCCUGGGGGUGAACUGUGGUGGUGUUUACUGAUCCUCGUCCUGGUCGUUGUUUGCAUUGGCAUCAUUGCUUACAGGUGUAUCAAAAAGCGCAAAAUAGAAAACCUUGUCAUAUAAGGCACUCAGGACUACCCAUCCCUUAGCCAAGCUAUUUGGACCCAACCACCAGAGACUGGGACAACCCUCAGGACUACCCAAACCCCCAGAUCAGGAUGCUGCUGCAUUAUCUCUGCCUUAAUUCCAUCACUUUAACUCUUCUUAAAGUUGUAAUCUUUUAAUACAUUUUCAUAUUCAGAUUCUUGUCAAUCACUACCAUUAAACUAGUGCCUUG